CAGAGAGAGAGAGAGAGAGAGAGAGAGAAUCCCAAGCAAACUCCACACUCAGAGCAGAGCCUGAUGCGGGGAUCCAUCCCAUGACCCUGGGAUCAUGAAGUGAGCUGAAAUCAAGAGUGGGACCCUCAACCUACAGAGCCCCCGGGCACCCUGCUCUGUUGUUUUUAACAAGCUUAUGUUAUGACCACUGUCUAUUCGGAGAGCCCAUCAGAAAGAACACGGUCCAAAGCCAAGCAGCCCUGUAUCUUCUGCCUCUUUCUCUCACAGGAGCUGAUUUAGCCUCUCGGACCCAGUUUCCUGAAGCUGAAAUGAGCCGAGGGUCACCCAGCUCCUAGGGACCCUUUGUGAGGAUUAGCUGGGGAAAGACGCAAAUACCGCUCCACGGAGGAAAAGGGAGAGGAAAUGGGGAUACAUCACAGAAGGAGGGAUUCCGGUUUGAAGUAAGAAAGAACUUCCAGAUGGUGAAGGUUGCCAAGCCCUGGAUGAAAAUGCCACAAAGAAAGACCGCUUCCAGCCUGGAAAUCCCGAGGCCCACCUCUCCCCAAGGAAUCGUGAUGGAAACUCUGUCCUGGGUCUUCCCUCUGAACGCGUUCUCCCUGGGACACUCACGGGGGCUCCGAGGCGAGCCCGCACUGCCAGUGGGACCCAUGAUGGAGUGGAGGUACAGUGUAGGUAGCAGUUCUGAAAUACGGGUUUUCUUUGGUGUCGGGUCCCCUGAAAAUAGUUUCCGAGAUGGAGAUUUGCAUGCAGGCGUGUUGGGUGCGCUCUCGCAGGCAACAUCUGGGUGGGGGUGGGGUGGGGUGUGGAAGAAGCAGACUGAGCAGAGGAAACAGACUGGGACAUCGACGUGAAAGGCAACUAGGACAGAGGCCUCAGCCUGUCUGAGCCCUGGAGCUGGCGUGGCCCUGGAGAGUUUGUGAGCAGCUCGCCACCAGCCCGUUACCCUAUUUGCAUCUUCUACGCCUUCCUCUGGCCCUGCCGUGUCUCUCCCCUUGGCCCUCGUCACCCUCACACCCCUGCAUUUGCUCCUCUGCCUUCAUUGUCCACGUCCCCUCACCUUUUGUCUGUUUUGUUCACUGCCAUAACCCUAGAGCCUAGCUGGGCACAUAGCACCUGUUCAACACACAUCUUAAGAUGAAGCUACCGGGGCGCCCGGGUGGCUCCGUUGGUUGCGCCUCUGACUUCCGCUCAGGUCACGGUCUCGCGGUUCGUGAGUUCGAGCCCCGCGUCGGGCUCUGUGCCGACAGCCUGCUUCGAAUUCUUUGGCUCCCUCUCUCUCAGGCUCUGUCUGUCUGUCUCUCUC